AAGAAAAAGGCGGCCGCNAUCUUCCUAGUGAUGAGAGUUUGAUCCCGGCGGAGGCUACUGCUAUUGGGAUUCGAUUUUUCCCUGCAAGUUGAAUGAAUUUAGAUUCAUGGCGUACGGCUCAGUAACACGUGGAUAACUUACCCUUAGGACUGGGAUAACUCUGGGAAACUGGGGAUAAUACUGGAUAUUAGGCUAUGCCUGGAAUGGUUUGCCUUUGAAAUGUUUUUUCGCCUAAGGAUAGAUCUGCGGCUGAUUAGGUCGUUGGUGGGGUAAUGGCCCACCAAGCCGAUGAUCGGUACGGGUUGUGAGAGCAAGAGCCCGGAGAUGGAACCUGAGACAAGGUUCCAGACCCUACGGGGUGCAGCAGGCGCGAAACCUCCGCAAUGUACGAAAGUGCGACGGGGGGAUCCCAAGUGUCAUGCUUUUUUGUAUGACUUUUCAUUAGUGUAAAAAGCUUUUAAAAUAAGAGCUGGGCAAGACCGGUGCCAGCCGCCGCGGAUACACCAGUCACUCGAGUGGUAGCUGUUUUUAUUGAUGCUUAAGCGUUCCUAGCCGGUUUUAAUAGUCUUUGCUGAAAGCUUGAACUUUAACAUAAGAAUGCUGGAAAACUAUAGACUUGAAUCCGGAAAGUUAGAGGACUCCCGGGAGGGGUGAAACCAUAAUCUGGGAGGACACCUGUGGGGAAGGCUUUAUGGAAGAUCUUAAGGAGAUAACAAUACCGGAGUUCGACUGAUUAAUCACCGGUUCCCGCCCAAACAAGGA
rnacentral:rRNA from 1 species